rnacentral:rRNA from 1 species
CAGUAGCCGCGGUAAGACAGAGGAUGCAAGCGUUACCCGGAAUGAUUGGGCGUAAAGCGUCUGUAGGUGGCUUUUCAAGUCCGCCGUCAAAUCCCCGGGCUCAACCCUGGACAGGCAGUGGAAACUACCAAGCUGGAGUACGAUAGGGGCAGAGGGAAUUUCCGGUGGAGCGGUGAAAUGCGUUGAGAUCGGAAAGAACACCAACAGCGAAAGCACUCUGCUGGGCCGACACUGACACUGAGAGACGAAAGCUAGGGGAGCAAAUGGGAUUAGAUACCCGGGUAGUCCCUGUCUCUUAUAC